AUUGAACGCUGGCGGCAGGCCUAACACAUGCAAGUCGAGCGAGUGGCGGACGGGUGAGUAAUGUAUGGGAAUCUGCCUGAUGGAGGGGGAUAACUACUGGAAACGGUAGCUAAUACCGCAUACCAUCAGAUGAACCCAUAUGGGAUUAGCUUGUAGGUAAGGUAACGGCUUACCUAGGCGACGAUCCCUAGCUGGUCUGAGAGGAUGACCAGCCACACUGGGACUGGGACACGGUCCAGACUCCUACGGGAGGCAGCAGUGGGGAAUAUUGCACAAUGGGCGCAAGCCUGAUGCAGCCAUGCCGCGUGUAUGAAGAAGGCCUUCGGGUUGUAAAGUACUUUCAGUGGGGAGGCGUUACCGGCAGAAGAAGCACCGGCUAACUCCGUGCCAGCAGCCGCGGUAAUAC
rnacentral:rRNA from 1 species